CGGAUUGUAGUCUGCAACUCGACUACAUGAAGCUGGAAUCGCUAGUAAUCGCGGAUCAGAAUGCCGCGGUGAAUGCGUUCCCGGGUCUUGUACACACCGCCCGUCACACCAUGGGAGUCGGAAAUGCCCGAAGUCGGUGACUCAACCGAAAGGAGAGAGCCGCCGAAGGCAGGUCUGAUAACUGGGGUGAAGUCGUAACAAGGUACC
rnacentral:rRNA from 1 species